rnacentral:lncRNA from 1 species
CUUGUCUCUGGGAACAUGGCUCACUGUUCUGUCCCUUGUAGAGUUUCCUACUGGGUCUCUGGAGCAAGACUCAUUCAACCAAAACAGGCUGCCUUUCAUGGCCCCACAGUCCUUUAUAAGACUUGCCUUGGUCAUGGUGUCUGUUCACAGCAGUAAAACCCUAAGACACGUGGUUACAAUCAGCUAUUAUCUGCUUUGCAGGUGCUGGGAACCAAAUCUGGGUCCACAACAAAAGCAUCAGGCACUCCCAACUACUGAGCCAGCUCUCCAGCUUAAUUUUGGGUUUUUGAGAGAGAGAGAGGGAGAGAGAGAGAGAGAGAGAGAGAGAGAGAGAGAGAGAGAGAGAGAGUCUCAUGUAGUUUGUGGUGACUUCUGAAUGAAAAAAAAGAAAGAAAGAAAGAAGGAGGAUAUGACCCACUCCUAAGGGGUUGUUUUUAUUCCAGAUACAAGGGCGAGCACAGGCAGAAGCAGAGACGUCUGGGAGAAUCCAGAGUGGACAGGACCAUGACUGACCAACUAGGAUAUCAGCAGGUCCAGUGCAACAGCAGACACCAAACAGGAAUCAGCAACAGCAGCACACUCCACCAGAAACAGCAAGGUUCUGCCAAAUCAGCACGAGUCAGUGGAAGUGGCCAAAGUCAGCUGGAAUACCACGAGAAGUUCUUUGGUGCGGUUUCUCUCUCUGAAGUCAAGGCCAGCCAAGACCAGAGGCAGGAGAAUCAGGAGUUCAGAGCUAGCCUCAGCUACAUAGGGAGUUUGAGGCUAACCUGGGUUAUGGGAAGCCCAGUUUCAAAAAAAAACAAAAGACCAGGGAUGGUGGCAUAGCUCAGUAAAGGUGCACUGGUAAAGGUGUUUGUGGCCAAGCCUGAUGACCUGAGUCCACCCCUGGGGCCCACAUGAAGGGCAGAACCGAACUGACUCCCAGAAGCUGUUCUCUGACUCCCACACGCUCACUGUGGCAUUUUGUUG